rnacentral:rRNA from 1 species
GACGAACGCUGGCGGCGUGCUUAACACAUGCAAGUCGAACGGAAAGGCCCCUUUGGGGGUACUCGAGUGGCGCACGGGUGAGUAACACGUGAGUAACCUGCCCUUGACUUCGGGAUAACUUCAGGAAACUGGGGCUAAUACCGGAUAGGAAUCCUUGCUGCAUGGUGGGGGUUGGAAAGCUUCGGCGGUUUUGGAUGGACUCGCGGCUUAUCAGCUUGUUGGUGGGGUAGUGGCUUACCAAGGCUUUGACGGGUAGCCGGCCUGAGAGGGCGACCGGCCACAUUGGGACUGAGAUACGGCCCAGACGCCUACGGGAGGCAGCAGUGGGGAAUAUUGCACAAUGGGCGGAAGCCUGAUGCAGCAACGCCGCGUGCGGGAUGACGGCCUUCGGGUUGUAAACCGCGUUCAGCAGGGGCGAAGCUUGUGGUGACGGUACCUGCAGAAGAAGCACCGGCUAACUACGUG